UCCCUGGUGGCUCAGUGGUAAAGAAUCUGCCUGCCAGUGCAGAAGACUUGGGUUCAAUCCCUGGCUUGGGAA
rnacentral:tRNA from 1 species